AUUGAACGCUGGCGGAAGGCCUAACACAUGCAAGUCGCACGAGUGGCGGACGGGUGAGAAAUGUCUGGGAAAAUGCCCGAUGGAGGGGGAUAACUACUGGAAACGGUAGCUAAUACCGCAUACCAUCGGAUGUGCCCAGAUGUGAUUAGCUUGUAGGGGAGGUAACGGCUCACCUAGGCGACGCUCCCUAGCUGGUCUGAGAGGAUGAACAGGCACACUGGAACUGAGACACGGUCCAGACUCCUACGGUAGGCAGCAGUGGGGAAUAUUGGACAAUGGGGGAAAGCCUGAUGCAGCCAUGCCGCGUGUAUGAAGAAGGCCUUCGGGUUGUAAAGUACUUUCAGCGGGGAAGCGUUACCCGCAGAAGAAGCACCGGCUAACUCCGUGCCAGCAGCCGCGGUAAUUC
rnacentral:rRNA from 1 species